UCGAGAAUCUUUCGCAAUGCCCGAAAGGGUGACGAAGCGACGCCGCGUGUGGGAAGAAGGCCUUCGGGUUGUAAACCACUGUCGGGAGUUAGGAAAUGCAGGUGCGUUAAUAGCGCACUUGCUUGACUAAGGCUCCAGAGGAAGCCACGGCUAACUCUGUGCCAGCAGCCGCGGUAAUACAGAGGCGGCAAGCGUUGUUCGGAAUUAUUGGGCGUAAAGAGCACGUAGGCGGCCUUGCAAGUCAGUUGUGAAAGCCUUCCGCUUAACGGAAGAACGGCAUCUGAUACUACAGGGCUUGAGUACGGGAGGGGAGAGUGGAACUUCUGGUGGAGCGGUGAAAUGCGUAGAUAUCAGAAGGAACGCCGGCGGCGAAAGCGACUCUCUGGUCCGAAACUGACGCUGAGUGUGCGAAAGCUAGGGGAGCAAACGGGAUUAGAUACCCCGGUAGUCCUAGCCGUAAACGAUGGGCACUAAGUAGAGGGGUUUUGAUUAUUUCUCUGCCGGAGCUAACGCAUUAAGUGCCCCGCCUGGGGAGUACGGCCGCAAGGCUAAAACUCAAAAGAAUUGACGGGGGCUCGCACAAGCGGUGGGGCAUGUGGCUUAAUUCGAUGCAACGCGAAGAACCUUACCGGGGCUUGACAUGGUAGAAGUAGAAUCCUGAAAGGGUGACGAUCGGUAUCCAGUCCGAAGCUAUCACAGGUGUUGCAUGGCUGUCGUCAGCUCGUGUCGUGAGACGUUGGGUUAAGUCCCCUAACGAGCGAAACCCUUGUCUUUAGUUGCUAACGGGUAAUGCUGAGCACUUUAGAGAGACUGCCGUCGUUAAGACGGAGGAAGGUGGGGACGACGUCAAGUCAUCAUGGCCCUUAUGUCCCGGGCUGCACACGUGCUACAAUGGUCGGUACAAAGGGAUGCUAAGUCGCGAGAUGGUGCGAAACCUAUAAAGCCGAUCUCAGUUCAGAUUGGAGGCUGAAACUCGCCUGCAUGAAGUUGGAAUCGCUAGUAAUCGUAGGUCAGCAUACUACGGUGAAUGUGUUCCCGAGCCUUGUACACACCGCCCGUCAAGCCACCCAAGCAAGAUGCACCCAAAAUCGCCUGCCUAACCCGUAAGGGAGGGAAGUGCCUAAGGUGUGUUUUGUGAGGAGGACUAAGUCGUAACAAGGUAGUCGUAGGAGAACC
rnacentral:rRNA from 1 species